ACGUCGAUAGUGCAAUGGUUGAGCACGCACCUCCGGAUAGGGUGAAAUGUGGGUUCGAAUCUCACCUGACGCA